AUUGAACGCUGGCGGCAGGCUUAACACAUGCAAGUCGAGCGAGCGGCGGACGGGUGAGUAAUGUCUGGGAAACUGCCUGAUGGAGGGGGAUAACUACUGGAAACGGUAGCUAAUACCGCAUACCAUCAGAUGUGCCCAGAUGGGAUUAGCUAGUAGGUGGGGUAAUGGCGCACAUAGGCGACGAUCCCUAGCUGGUCUGAGAGGAUGACAGGCCACACGGGAACUUGGGCACGGUCCAGACGCCUAGGGGAGGCAGCAGUGGGGAAUAUUGCACAAUGGGCGAAAGCCUGAUGCAGCCAUGCCGCGUGUGUGAGGAAGGCCUUCGGGUUUUAAAGCACUUUCAGCGAGGAGGCGUUACUCGCAGAAGAAGCACCGGCUAACUCCGUGCCAGCAGCCGCGGUAAUAC
rnacentral:rRNA from 1 species